UACGUAGGGGGCGAGCGUUAUCCGGAUUUACUGGGCGUAAAGCGGGCGUAGGCGGCUCGUCAAGUCAGGUGUGAAAUCUCCCGGCUCAACUGGGAGGGUGCAUUUGAUACUGACGGGCUAGAGUGCAGCAGAGGAAGAUGGAAUUCCCGGUGUAGUGGUGAAAUGCGUAGAUAUCGGGAAGAACACUAGUGGCGAAGGCGGUCUUCUGGGCUGUAACUGACGCUGAGGUCCGAAGGCGUGGGGAGCAAACAGG
rnacentral:rRNA from 1 species